rnacentral:rRNA from 1 species
UGCGUAGGCGGGUUUCUAAGUCAGAGGUGAAAGCCUGGAGCUCAACUCCAGAACUGCCUUUGAUACUGGAAGUCUUGAGUACGGCAGAGGUGAGUGGAACUGCGAGUGUAGAGGUGAAAUUCGUAGAUAUUCGCAAGAACACCAGUGGCGAAGGCGGCUCACUGGGCCAUUACUGACGCUGAGGCACGAAAGCGUGGGGAGCAAACA